rnacentral:rRNA from 1 species
UACAGAGGUCCCGAGCGUUGUUCGGAUUCACUGGGCGUAAAGGGUGCGUAGGCGGCGCGGUAAAUCGGGUGUGAAAUCUCGGAGCUUAACUCCGAAACUGCAUUCGAUACUGCCGUGCUUGAGGACUGGAGAGGAGACUGGAAUUUACGGUGUAGCGGUGAAAUGCGUAGAUAUCGUAAGGAAGACCAGUGGCGAAGGCGGGUCUCUGGACAGUUCCUGACGCUGAGGCACGAAGGCCAGGGGAGCAAACGGG